UACGUAGGGUGCAAGCGUUAAUCGGAAUUACUGGGCGUAAAGCGUGCGCAGGCGGUUUUGUAAGUCUGUCGUGAAAGCCCCGGGCUCAACCUGGGAAUUGCGAUGGAGACUGCAAGGCUUGAAUCUGGCAGAGGGGGGUAGAAAUUCCACGUGUAGGCAGUGAAAUGCGUAGAGAUGUGGAGGAACACCGAUGGCGAAGGCAGCCCCCUGGGUCAAGAUUGACGCUCAUGCACGAAGCGUGGGGAGCAAACAGGGAAUUAG
rnacentral:rRNA from 1 species